AUAUGCCCUCAGACGGAGAGCAAGGGUGGGUGAGACUCUGAAGGAGCAAUUCUUUGCUUUUUUCCUCCUAAUGUCCUUAGACAGGAUGCAGACCUCCCUUCUAUGGAAGGAGCACAGGCUUGGGAGUCAGGGGAUGCUGUUGUCUUGCCGUGUGACCUUGGUUGGGCCAGGCUCCCUGUCUCCCAUGAUGCACCUUGGUCUUGCUCUGGCUGAUGACAGCUGUUGCCUGACUACAGCGCAUGAUAGAAAAUGAAAAAGUCCAGGAGCCCAGCCAUAGAGAAGAAUGGGAGCACGAAGCCCCUGAACCAUAACUCCUGUGUGGUAUCGCAGUGGCAUUUUGGAUUCAAGGGUCCACUCUAUACCCUCUCUGGAAUGCUGUGCACCGAGACAUCUAGUGGCUGAGUGAGGUACUACAAAUAAACAUAUCUACAGUUCCCA